UCAAGCUACUAAGGGCAUACGGUGGAUGCCUUGGCACUAAGAGCCGAUGAAGGACGCGGUAAGCUGCGAAAAGCCACGGGGAACUGCAAGCAAGUCUUGAUCCGUGGAUGUCCGAAUGGGGAAACCCACCAUCCGUCAUGGGAUGGUAUCCUACGGGAGGGGAACCCGGUGAACUGAAACAUCUAAGUAGCCGGAGGAAGAGAAAUCAAACGAGAUGCCCACAGUAGCGGCGAGCGAAGAGGGCAGAGCCUAAACCAGUCAUCUUCGGAUGGUUGGGGUUACGGACCUGCAUCAACCGAGUCCUACCUAGUCGAAUUACCUGGAAAGGUAAGCCAGAGAGCGUAAGAGCCGCGUAGGUGAAAGGAAGGACGAGGGGGCAGGGAUCCAGAGUACCACGAAGCACGAGGAAUUUUGUGGGAAGUCGGGGGGACCACCCUCCAAGGCUAAACACUUCUUAGUGACCGAUAGCGCAUAGUACCGUGAGGGAAAGGUGAAAAGAACCGCGGGAGCGGAGUGAAAGAGAACCUGAAACCGUAUGUCUACAAGCAGUCGGAGCGCAAGCGACGGCGUGCCUAUUGAAGAAUGAGCCAACGAGUUACGGGCACCAGCGAGGUUAAGCAGGAAAUGCGGAGCCGGAGCGAAAGCGAGUCUAAACAGGGCGAAUAGUUGGUGUUCGUAGACCCGAAACUGUAGUGAUCUACCCAUGAUCAGGUUGAAGCGCAGGUAAAAAUGCGUGGAGGACCGAACCGGUGAGCGUUGAAAAGCUUUCGGAUGAAUCGUGGGUAGCGGUGAAAUUCCAAUCGAACGCAGAGAUAGCUGGUUCUCCUCGAAAUAGCUUUAGGGCUAGCCUCAAGCAGUAAGCAUAGGCGGUAGAGCACUGAUCGGGAUAGGGUCCGUAAAGGAUACCGAACCCUGUCAAACUACGAAUGGUUAUGCUGCAGAGCUUGGGAGUCAGACUACGAGAGAUAAGUCCCGUUGUCAAAAGGGAAACAGCCCAGACCGUCAGCUAAGGUCCCCAAUGCCAUACUAAGUGGAAAAGGAUGUGGGGUCUCAUAAACAACCAGGAUGUUGGCUCAGAAGCAGCCACCAUUUAAAGAGUGCGUAAUAGCUCACUGGUCGAGAGGCCCUGCGCCGAAGAUUCCCGGGGCUAAAGUAUGGAACCGAAGCUACGGAUGCGGUACUUGUACCGCGUGGUAGAGGAGCGUUCCCAUUGGGUUGAAGUCGUCCUGGAAGGGACGGUGGACUGGUGGGAAGUGAGAAUGUUGGCAUGAGUAGCGAAAAGAUAGGUGAGAAUCCUAUCCACCGAAAGCAUAAGGAUUCCUGAGCAACGAUCGUCGUCUCAGGGUAAGUCGGGACCUAAUCCGAGGCAUGGAGCGUAGGAGAUGGACAACUGGUUGAUAUUCCAGUACCGGCAGCAAUCGUUUGAACGAUGGAGUGACGCAGGAAGGCAGGUCCGCGCGAGAAUGGUAGAUCGCGUACAAGCGUGCAGGCUGGUGCACAGGCAAAUCCGUGUACUGAGGCUGAGGCGUGAUGUGGAGGGAACUUGUUCCCGAAGGGAUUGAGCCUACGCUGCCGAGAAAAGCUUCUAGUGAGAAAGCUGCCGCCCGUACCGUAAACCGACACAGGUAUGCGGGGAGAGAAUCCUAAGGUGCGCGGGAGAACCCUCGUUAAGGAACUCGGCAAAAUGUACCCGUAACUUCGGGAUAAGGGUAGCCACAGUGGUGAAGGGACUUGCUCCUGGAGCCUAGUGUGGUCGCAGAGAAGAGGCCCAAGCGACUGUUAACCAGAAACACAGGUGCCUGCGAAAGAGAAAUCUGAUGUAUAGGUGCUGACACCUGCCCAGUGCUGGAAGGUUAAAGAAGGAUGUCCGGGUUCGACCCAAAGCAUUUGACUGAAGCCCCAGUGAACGGCGGCCGUAACUAUAACGGUCCUAAGGUAGCGAAAUUCCUUGUCGGGUAAGUUCCGACCCGCACGAAAGGUGUAACGAUUUGGGCACUGUCUCAACGAGGGACCCGGUGAAAUUGAAAUACCUGUGAAGAUGCAGGUUACCCGCGACUGGACAGAAAGACCCCAUGGAGCUUUACUGUAACCUAAUAUUGGGUUCUGAUAUUCGACGCACAGGAUAGGUGGGAGGCUUGGAGCAUGGUCCUCUGGGAUCAUGGGAGCCGCCGUUGGGAUACCACCCUUCGAAUAUCGGGAUUCUAACCGCAGGAGCAACGAUCCUCGGGACAGUGUUAGGCGGGCAGUUUGACUGGGGCGGUCGCCUCCUAAAGGGUA
rnacentral:rRNA from 1 species